rnacentral:rRNA from 1 species
CCUACGGGAGGCAGCAGUGAGGAAUAUUGGUCAAUGGACGAGAGUCUGAACCAGCCAAGUAGCGUGAAGGAUGACUGCCCUAUGGGUUGUAAACUUCUUUUAUAUGGGAAUAAAAUGUUCCACGUGUGGGAUUUUGUAUGUACCAUAUGAAUAAGGCUCGGCUAACUCCGUGCCAGCAGCCGCGGUAAUCCGGAGGAUCCGAGCGUUAUCCGGAUUUAUUGGGUUUAAAGGGAGCGUAGGUGGAUUGUUAAGUCGGUUGUGAAAGUUUGCGGCUCAACCGUAAAAUUGCAGUUGAAACUGGCAGUCUUGAGUACAGUAGAGGUGGGCGGAAUUCGUGGUGUAGCGGUGAAAUGCUUAGAUAUCACGAAGAACUCUGAUUGCGAAGGCAGUUCACUGGACUGCAACUGACACUGAGGCUCGAAAGUGUGGGUAUCAAACAGGAUUAGAUACCCGAGUAGUC